rnacentral:rRNA from 1 species
UACGUAGGGUGCAAGCGUUGUCCGGAAUUAUUGGGCGUAAAGAGCUCGUAGGCGGUCUGUCGCGUCGGAUGUGAAAACCCAGGGCUCAACCCUGGGCCUGCAUUCGAUACGGGCAGACUAGAGUUCGGUAGGGGAGACUGGAAUUCCUGGUGUAGCAGUGAAAUGCGCAGAUAUCAGGAGGAACACCGGUGGCGAAGGCGGGUCUCUGGGCCGAAACUGACGCUGAGGAGCGAAAGCGUGGGGAGCAAACAGG